UACGAAGGGGGCUAGCGUUGCUCGGAAUGACUGGGCGUAAAGGGCGCGUAGGCGGAUGGCACAGUCAGAUGUGAAAUUCCCGGGCUUAACCUGGGGGCUGCAUUGGAUACGGGUAGGCUGGAGGCAGGCAGGGGAGAACGGAAUUCCCGGUGUAGCGGUGAAAUGCGCAGAUAUCGGGAGGAACACCGGUGGCGAAGGCGGUUCUCUGGGCCUGUACUGACGCUGAGGAGCGAAAGCGUGGGGAGCAAACAGG
rnacentral:rRNA from 1 species